AUACAUAACAAUACAGGGCUCUUCGAGUCUUGUAAUUGGAAUGAGUACAAUCUAAAGCCCUUAACGAGGAACAAUUGGAGGGAAAGUCUGGUGCCAGCAGCCGCGGUAAUUCCAGCUCCAAUAGCGUAUAUUAAAGUUGUUGCAGUUAAAAAGCUCGUAGUUGAAUUUUGGACGUGGUGAUGUGGUCCGCCUAACGGCGAGUACUGCAGCAUCGCGUCCCACCUUCUGGACGUGCGUGCUGCCCUUUACCGGGUGGCACGUGUGGCCAGGACGUUUACUGUGAAAAAAUUAGAGUGUUCAAAGCAGGCGUUCGCUUGAAUACAUUAGCAUGGAAUAAUGGAAUAGGACUUUGGUCUUAUUUUGUUGGUUUCUAGGACUGAAGUAAUGAUUAAUAGGGAUAGUUGGGGGCAUUAGUAUUUCAUUGUCAGAGGUGAAAUUCUUGGAUUUAUGAAAGACUAACUUCUGCGAAAGCAUUUGCCAAGGAUGUUUUCAUUAAUCAAGGACGAAAGUUAGGGGAUCGAAGACGAUUAGAUACCGUCGUAGUCUUAACCAUAAACUAUGCCGACUCAGGAUCGGUGGCACGUCAUUUGAUGCGUCCAUCGGCACUGUAGGAGAAAUCAAAGUUUUUGGGUUCUGGGGGAGUACGGUCGCAAGGCUGAAACUUAAAGGAAUUGACGGAAGGGCACCACCAGGAGUGGAGCCUGCGGCUUAAUUUGACUCAACACGGGGAAACUCACCAGGCCAGAACAUAAGAAGGAUUGACAGAUUGAGAGCUCUUUCUUGAUUUUAUGGGUGGUGGUGCAUGGCCGUUCUUAGUUGGUGGAGUGAUUUGUCUGGUUAAUUCCGAUAACGAACGAGACCUUAUCCUGCUAAAUAGUCGCGUCGAGUCUUACUCGUCGUCGACUUCUUAGAGGGACUGUUGCUGUUUAAGCAAUGGAAGUUUGAGGCAAUAACAGGUCUGUGAUGCCCUUAGAUGUUCUGGGCCGCACGCGCGCUACACUGAUGAAGUCAGCGAGUUCUUCCUUGUCCGAGAGGAUUGGGUAAUCUUGUGAAACUUCAUCGUGCUGGGGAUAGACCUUUGCAAUUAUUGGUCUUCAACGAGGAAUUCCUAGUAAGCGCGAGUCAUCAGCUCGCGUUGAUUACGUCCCUGCCCUUUGUACACACCGCCCGUCGCUACUACCGAUUGAAUGGCUUAGUGAGGC
rnacentral:rRNA from 1 species